GCUAGCUACAGGCUUAACACAUGCAAGUCGAGGGGCAUCAGGAAGAAAGCUUGCUUUCUUUGCUGGCGACCGGCGCACGGGUGAGUAACACGUAUCCAACCUGCCCUUUACUCGGGGAUAGCCUUUCGAAAGAAAGAUUAAUACCCGAUAGCAUAAUGAUUCCGCAUGGUUUCAUUAUUAAAGGAUUCCGGUAAAGGAUGGGGAUGCGUUCCAUUAGGUUGUUGGUGAGGUAACGGCCCACCAAGCCUUCGAUGGAUAGGGGUUCUGAGAGGAAGGUCCCCCACAUUGGAACUGAGACACGGUCCAAACUCCUACGGGAGGCAGCAGUGAGGAAUAUUGGUCAAUGGGCGCUAGCCUGAACCAGCCAAGUAGCGUGAAGGAUGAAGGCUCUAUGGGUCGUAAACUUCUUUUAUAUAAGAAUAAAGUGCAGUAUGUAUACUGUUUUGUAUGUAUUAUAUGAAUAAGGAUCGGCUAACUCCGUGCCAGCAGCCGCGGUAAUACGGAGGAUCCGAGCGUUAUCCGGAUUUAUUGGGUUUAAAGGGAGCGUAGGUGGACUGGUAAGUCAGUUGUGAAAGUUUGCGGCUCAACCGUAAAAUUGCAGUUGAUACUGUCAGUCUUGAGUACAGUAGAGGUGGGCGGAAUUCGUGGUGUAGCGGUGAAAUGCUUAGAUAUCACGAAGAACUCCGAUUGCGAAGGCAGCUCACUGGACUGCAACUGACACUGAUGCUCGAAAGUGUGGGUAUCAAACAGGAUUAGAUACCCUGGUAGUCCACACAGUAAACGAUGAAUACUCGCUGUUUGCGAUAUACAGUAAGCGGCCAAGCGAAAGCAUUAAGUAUUCCACCUGGGGAGUACGCCGGCAACGGUGAAACUCAAAGGAAUUGACGGGGGCCCGCACAAGCGGAGGAACAUGUGGUUUAAUUCGAUGAUACGCGAGGAACCUUACCCGGGCUUAAAUUGCAGUGGAAUGAUGUGGAAACAUGUCAGUGAGCAAUCACCGCUGUGAAGGUGCUGCAUGGUUGUCGUCAGCUCGUGCCGUGAGGUGUCGGCUUAAGUGCCAUAACGAGCGCAACCCUUAUCUUUAGUUACUAACAGGUUAUGCUGAGGACUCUAGAGAGACUGCCGUCGUAAGAUGUGAGGAAGGUGGGGAUGACGUCAAAUCAGCACGGCCCUUACGUCCGGGGCUACACACGUGUUACAAUGGGGGGUACAGAAGGCAGCUAGCGGGUGACCGUAUGCUAAUCCCAAAAUCCUCUCUCAGUUCGGAUCGAAGUCUGCAACCCGACUUCGUGAAGCUGGAUUCGCUAGUAAUCGCGCAUCAGCCACGGCGCGGUGAAUACGUUCCCGGGCCUUGUACACACCGCCCGUCAAGCCAUGGGAGCCGGGGGUACCUGAAGUACGUAACCGCAAGGAUCGUCCUAGGGUAAAACUGGUGA
rnacentral:rRNA from 1 species